CCUACGGGAGGCAGCAGUGAGGAAUAUUGGUCAAUGGGCGCGAGCCUGAACCAGCCAAGUAGCGUGCAGGAUGACUGCCCUACGGGUUGUAAACUUCUUUUAUACAGGAAUAAAGUUAGACACGUGUACCUUUUUGUAAGUACUUUAUGAAUAAGGAUCGGCUAACUCCGUGCCAGCAGCCGCGGUAAUACGGAGGAUCCGAGCGUUAUCCGGAUUUAUUGGGUUUAAAGGGAGCGUAGAUGGGUUGUUAAGUUAGGUGUGAAAGUUUGCGGCGUAACAGGAAAAUUGCCAUUGAUACUGGCAGUCUUGAGUACAGUUGAGGUAGGCGGAAUUCGUGGUGUAGCGGUGAAAUGCUUAGAUAUCACGAAGAACUCCGAUUGCGAAGGCAGCUUACUAAACUGCCACUGACAUUGAUGCUCGAAAGUGUGGGUAUCAAACAGGAUUAGAUACCCGUGUAGUC
rnacentral:rRNA from 1 species